rnacentral:rRNA from 1 species
UACGGAGGGUGCAAGCGUUAUCCGGAUUUACUGGGUUUAAAGGGUAUGUAGGCGGAUCUUUAAGUCAGCGGUGAAAUCUCCGGGCUCAACCCGGAAACUGCCAUUGAUACUAUUGGUCUUGAAUAUUGUGGAGGUGGGCGGAACGGGUCAUGUAGCGGUGAAAUGCUUAGAGAUGACCCGGAACACCGAUUGCGAAGGCAGCCCACUACGCAAUGAUUGACGCUGAGGCACGAAAGCGUGGGGAUCAAACAGG